CUGGCGGCGUGCCUAAUCAUGCAAGUCUCGCGAAGUUUUUCUGGUGCUUGCACUAGAAAAACUUAGCGGCGAACGGGUGAGUAACACGUAAAGAACCUGCCUYAUAGACUGGGACAACUAUUGGAAACGAUAGCUAAUACCGGAUAACAGCAUUAACUGCAUGGUUGAUGUUUAAAAGUUGGUUUUGCUAACACUAUGAGAUGGCUUUGCGGUGCAUUAGCUAGUUGGUGGGGUAAAGGCCUACCAAGGCGACGAUGCAUAGCCGACCUGAGAGGGUGAUCGGCCACACUGGGACUGAGACACGGCCCAGACUCCUACGGGAGGCAGCAGUAGGGAAUCUUCCGCAAUGGGCGAAAGCCUGACGGAGCAACGCCGCGUGAGUGAAGAAGGAUUUCGGUUCGUAAAGCUCUGUUGUUAGGGAAGAAUGAUUGUGUAGUAACUAUACACAGUAGAGACGGUACCUAACCAGAAAGCCACGGCUAACUACGUGCCAGCAGCCGCGGUAAUACGUAGGUGGCAAGCGUUGUCCGGAAUUAUUGGGCGUAAAGCGCGCGCAGGUGGUUUAAUAAGUCUGAUGUGGAAAGCCCACGGCUCAACCGUGGAGGGUCAUUGG
rnacentral:rRNA from 1 species